UUGGCAGGUGAUUCCCAAAUUCCUAGGUGUGGGAAUUUAUUUAUGUCAUAUAGAUUAGCUAAAUAAACCUUCCCCUCUCAGUGGGUCACUUUUGUCAUCUGUUGAGCCAAAAUGAAAUGGUCACUAUCAAAUUCCCUUUACAAUCUUCCCAGGUCUCCAGGCAACUUCCUGUCCAAGUUCAUGGUCGUAGCUGCUGAGAAUCAAGGUGUCCAUCAGACGGUUACUCUGCCUUCCCUUUCAGUAUCUCCUAUGCUAAUAUGAUCAAUAAUUAUGCAGAGGGCAAUAAUAUUAAACUGCUUUUACCCCCUGAAGGAAAUGCUUAUGUGCUCAGGAUUGCCUGCAUUUUCUGAGUAUAUUCCAAAAUCUCUGAAGAUUUUAUUCAUGCAAGUUAAGUGUGACCUUCAACUAAACUCAAAUCUAUAAUUUAAAGUGGCCUCUUUGACUCAAAAUCCUCUCCAUUUCAAUGCCAAAUGGAUCAUCAGCUGCUCUCCAAGUAAUACUCGCUCCAGAGGAAGGUUCCAGCUACUGAUCGACACACAUUUUUGCAUUUCUACUCACAGACUUAAGUUCUGCUCUCCAAUAUGUGACUGUAGCUUAAUUGACGGAGGAAUGCAAAAAGAGAUUUGGAGGCGUCUGACUACUGUCGACUCACUGACUUCCCUCAGAGAAUUCUUUCACUUGUCUUUUAAAUUUUCCUUUCUUGUCAAAAUUGCAGGUGCAGAUAAAUGCUGGAAUCUUAUUUCAAUCAGAAAGUGCCAAGAACAAGAAAAGAUGGAGAAUUUUGAUUGUCGUUGAGGACAGAGCCUCAAACAGCUGGAGGCCUUCCAUUCUCUUUUAGCUUCCAUCCACCUCAGCCAGAUUUUCUUUCUCCAGACAAAUGUGUAUUUCAGACAACUUCUAAGUAAACUUUUGAAAAGAGCUUUCCCAGGAGGGAGCUGUUUUGUUCUCAUUGAGUAGAACAGAGUUCUUCCAGGAAGAAGACAGAGUUUAGAGAAUGAAAGCUGAAAUGUUAAAAAAUUUCUACUAAAUCGGAUAAUCUUCAACUAGGAAACAAUAAAAUAUACAAAAGUCAUAUGCAGAUACUUAAGUUAUAAAGUGAACCAUUAAUAUUUUGCCAGCUAUACCUAAUGACAUAUUUGGAUUAUCAAUUACUUUCCAUUCAAAUUGUAAAUCUUUUUCUAAGAAUGAAAGAACUAAAAACAUGAGAGAAUCUGGCCAUCUCUAACAGGAACAGAUUAUGAUACUUAACUCCAAACUUGUGUUAGAUAACUUUGAUCUACACGGGACACCUGGGAUGUAGAAUAUAUUUCAUAUUUUGUUAUUAAUGAUCAUCCAGAGAUGUCCUAGAAAUUUUUUUCUAGUAUCUAUGCCUUGUUAUUCAGACUAAUACAAUCCAAGAUUGUUCUAAAGAUGUUUAAUUUCAGUAAACCAGGUAUUUAUACAAGAUUUUCCUCAUUCAAUCCAAAUAUGUACAUAUUUUUACUGUAAACUGGGAUAAAAGCAGGUUUAGCCACUUUAGUUUGAACUUUACUCUGCUUUUCACUAAAAUAAUGGAGCUGUAUAGUAAAAUUGUACUAUUUCUCAUCAGUAUUAUCAUUUGUUACUAACGAGAAGUUCUUUAAUAUCAAAUGUGUUUUGGAAGAAGAGGGGCCAGUUUUUUUGUUG
rnacentral:lncRNA from 1 species